rnacentral:rRNA from 1 species
AACGAACGCUGGCGGUAUGCUUAACACAUACAAGUCGAACGAACAAAAUUGGGGCUUGCUCCAAUUUUAGUGAGUGGCAAACGGGUGAGUAACACGUGGGAAUCUACCUAUCAGUACGGAAUAACAUUUGGAAACAGAUGCUAAUACCGUAUAUUCUCCAAGGAGGAAAGGUUUAUCGCUGAUAGAUGAGCCCGCGCAAGAUUAGGUAGUUGGUAGGGUAAUGGCCUACCAAGCCGACGAUCUUUAGCUGGUCUGAGAGGAUGAUCAGCCACACUGGGACUGAGACACGGCCCAGACUCCUACGGGAGGCAGCAGUGGGGAAUAUUGGACAAUGGGCGAAAGCCUGAUCCAGCAAUACCGCGUGAAUGAUGAAGGCCUUAGGGUUGUAAAGUUCUUUUAGUUGGAAAGAUAAUGACGGUACCAACAGAAGAAGCCCCGGCUAACUCCGUGCCAGCAGCCGCAGUAA